rnacentral:rRNA from 1 species
GAUGAACGCUGGCGGCGUGCCUAAUACAUGCAAGUCGAGCGAACAGACGAGGAGCUUGCUCCUCUGACGUUAGCGGCGGACGGGUGAGUAACACGUGGAUAACCUACCUAUAAGACUGGGAUAACUUCGGGAAACCGGAGCUAAUACCGGAUAAUAUAUUGAACCGCAUGGUUCAAUAGUGAAAGACGGUUUUGCUGUCACUUAUAGAUGGAUCCGCGCCGCAUUAGCUAGUUGGUAAGGUAACGGCUUACCAAGGCAACGAUGCGUAGCCGACCUGAGAGGGUGAUCGGCCACACUGGAACUGAGACACGGUCCAGACUCCUACAGGAGGCAGCAGUAGGGAAUCUUCCGCAAUGGGCGAAAGCUUGACGGAGCAACGCCGCGUGAGUGAUGAAGGUCUUCGGAUCGUAAAACUCUGUUAUUAGGGAAGAACAAAUGUGUAAGUAACUAUGCACGUCUUGACGGUACCUAAUCAGAAAGCCACGGCUAACUACGUGC